rnacentral:rRNA from 1 species
AGUGAACGCUGGCGGCGUGCUUAACACAUGCAAGUCGAACGAGAACGGGCUAUAGCUUGCUAUAGUUGUCAGCUAAGUGGCGCACGGGUGAGUAAUGUAUAGGUAAUAUGCCUCUUACUAAGGGAUAACAAAUGGAAACGUUUGCUAAUACCUUAUACUCCUUAUUAACAUAAGUUAAUAAGGGAAAGAUUUAUUGGUAAGAGAUUAGCCUGUAUUGUAUCAGUUAGUUGGUGGGGUAAUGGCUUACCAAGACUAUGACACAUAACUGGUUUGAGAGGAUGAUCAGUCACACUGGAACUGAGACACGGUCCAGACUCCUACGGGAGGCAGCAGUGGGGAAUAUUGCACAAUGGACGAAAGUCUGAUGCAGCAACGCCGCGUGGAGGAUGACACAUUUCGGUGCGUAAACUCCUUUUAUAUGAGAAGAUAAUGACGGUAUUAUAUGAAUAAGCACCGGCUAACUCCGUGCCAGCCGCCGCAGUAAGAC